rnacentral:rRNA from 1 species
UACGAGGGGGGCAAAUGUUGUUCGGAAUCACUGGGCGUAAAGGGAGCGUAGGCGGGUUCUUAAGUCAGGUGUUUAAUCCCGGGGCCCAACCCCGGACCGGCACUUUAAACUGGGAAUCUUGAAUAGUGGAGAGGUCGGUGGAAUUGGGGGUGUAGCGGUGGAAUGCGUAGAGAUCCCCAAGAACACCAGUUGCGAAGGCGGCCGACUGGACACAUAUUGACGCUGAGGCUCGAAAGCAUGGGGAGCAAACAGG